UCCUGGCUGUAAACUCUGCCCGCUAGGUGUUGCGCGCUCUUAGGGUGUGCGCAGUGCCGGAGCGAAGGUGAUAAGCGGGCCGCCUGGGAAGUACGCCCGCAAGGGUGAAACUUAAACCAAGUUGGGCGGGGGAGCACCACAAGGGGUGAAGUCUGCGGUUCAAUUGGAUUCAACGCCGGAAAUCUCGACCGGGGGCGACGGCAGGGAUGAAGGCCAGUCUGGAAGGGCUUGCC
rnacentral:rRNA from 1 species